GGCGCACGGGUGCGUAACGCGUAUGCAAUCUACCUUUUACAGAGGGAUAGCCCAGAGAAAUUUGGAUUAAUACCUCAUAGUAUAUAGACUCGGCAUCGAGAUUAUAUUAAAGUCACAACGGUAAAAGAUGAGCAUGCGUCCCAUUAGCUAGUUGGUAAGGUAACGGCUUACCAAGGCUACGAUGGGUAGGGGUCCUGAGAGGGAGAUCCCCCACACUGGUACUGAGACACGGACCAGACUCCUACGGGAGGCAGCAGUGAGGAAUAUUGGACAAUGGGCGCAAGCCUGAUCCAGCCAUGCCGCGUGCAGGAUGACGGUCCUAUGGAUUGUAAACUGCUUUUGUACAGGAAGAAACACUGGUUCGUGAACCAGCUUGACGGUACUGUAAGAAUAAGGAUCGGCUAACUCCGUGCCAGCAGCCGCGGUAAUACGGAGGAUCCAAGCGUUAUCCGGAAUCAUUGGGUUUAAAGGGUCCGUAGGCGGUUUAAUAAGUCAGUGGUGAAAGCCCAUCGCUCAACGGUGGAACGGCCAUUGAUACUGUUAAACUUGAAUUAUUAGGAAGUAACUAGAAUAUGUAGUGUAGCGGUGAAAUGCUUAGAGAUUACAUGGAAUACCAAUUGCGAAGGCAGGUUACUACUAAUUGAUUGACGCUGAUGGACGAAAGCGUGGGUAGCGAACAGGAUUAGAUACCCUGGUAGUCCACGCCGUAAACGAUGGAUACUAGCUGUUGGGAGCAAUCUCAGUGGCUAA
rnacentral:rRNA from 1 species